AAUAGAUACCCUGGUAGUCCACGCCGUAAACGAUGAGUGCUAAGUGUUAGAGGGUUUCCGCCCUUUAGUGCUGAAGUUAACGCAUUAAGCACUCCGCCUGGGGAGUACGGCCGCAAGGCUGAAACUCAAAGGAAUUGACGGGGGCCCGCACAAGCGGUGGAGCAUGUGGUUUAAUUCGAAGCAACGCGAAGAACCUUACCAGGUCUUGACAUCCUCUGACAACCCUAGAGAUAGGGCUUCUCCUUCGGGAGCAGAGUGACAGGUGGUGCAUGGUUGUCGUCAGCUCGUGUCGUGAGAUGUUGGGUUAAGUCCCGCAACGAGCGCAACCCUUGAUCUUAGUUGCCAUCAUUUAGUUGGGCACUCUAAGGUGACUGCCGGUGACAAACCGGAGGAAGGUGGGGAUGACGUCAAAUCAUCAUGCCCCUUAUGACCUGGGCUACACACGUGCUACAAUGGACGGUACAAAGAGCUGCAAGACCGCGAGGUGGAGCUAAUCUCAUAAAAACCGUUCUCAGUUCAGAUUGUAGG
rnacentral:rRNA from 1 species